UAAUCAGGUAUAUACAACACAAGAGAGUAGUGCUGUCUAUUUUUAACUUGCACGUGAUUUGCAGGGAAUAAGAGCUUAAUUGUCAUUUUAUUGCUAGACUUCACAUGAUUCGUACUAUUCUAUCUUCCGGGUCUACAUUAUAGGAGGAGACGAAACCUAGAAAGGGGCGUCUGUAAUAUAUGAGGAAAUUGAAAGGUGUGGUCUUGAAGUUGUAGUUGCUGGAAUCCCUAAGACCAUUGAUAAUGACAUUGCGGUAAUUGAUAAGUCCUUUAGUUUUGACACUGCUGUGGAAGAGGCUCAGUGGGCCAUUAAUGCAGUACAUGUUGAAGUUGAAAGUGUCGAGAAUGGUUUGGGUGUUGUGAAGCUUAUGGGCCGUUACAAUGAUUGGUCUCAGGCAUGAUUUCUAGUUUUUUUAACAUACAAAUGCUGAAUGAGCUAUAUGAGAAUGAAGU